GACGAACGCUGGCGGCGUGCUUAACACAUGCAAGUCGAACGGAAAGGCCCUGCUUUUGUGGGGUGCUCGAGUGGCGAACGGGUGAGUAACACGUGAGUAACCUGCCCUUGACUUUGGGAUAGCUUCAGGAAACUGGGGCUAAUAUCGGAUAGGAGCUCCUGCUGCAUGGUGGGGGUUGGAAAGUUUCGGCUGUCGGGGAUGGACUCGCGGCUUAUCAGCUUGUUGGUGGGGGAGUGGAUUACCAAGGGUUUGACGGGUAGCCCGCCUGAGAGGGUGGCCGGGCACAAGAGGACUACGAGAGGGAGCAGACGCGAACAGGGGGCAGCAGGGGGGAAUAUGGCACAAUGGGAGGAAGCCGGAGGCAGCAACGCCGCGUGCGGGAUGACGGCCUUCGGGGUGUAAACAGCUUUCGCCUGUGACGAAGCGUGAGUGACGGUAAUGGGUAAAGAAGCACCGGCUAACUACGUG
rnacentral:rRNA from 1 species